rnacentral:rRNA from 1 species
CACGCUGAAACACCGGUUUCCGUACGAUCAACGAAGUUAAGCAACGUCGAGCUUGGUCAGUACCUAGAUGGGUGACCGCUUGGGAAUCCCAGGUGCUGUAAG